rnacentral:rRNA from 1 species
AGUGAACGCUGGCGGUAGGCCUAACACAUGCAAGUCGAACGGCAGCACAGUAAGAGCUUGCUCUUACGGGUGGCGAGUGGCGGACGGGUGAGGAAUAUAUCGGAAUCUACUUUUUCGUGGGGGAUAACGUAGGGAAACUUACGCUAAUACCGCAUACGACCUACGGGUGAAAGCAGGGGAUCUUCGGACCUUGCGCGAUUGAAUGAGCCGAUGUCGGAUUAGCUAGUUGGCGGGGUAAAGGCCCACCAAGGCGACGAUCCGUAGCUGGUCUGAGAGGAUGAUCAGCCACACUGGAACUGAGACACGGUCCAGACUCCUACGGGAGGCAGCAGUGGGGAAUAUUGGACAAAGGGCGCAAGCCUGAUCCAGCCAUACCGCGUGGGUGAAGAAGGCCUUCGGGUUGUAAAGCCCUUUUGUCGGGAAAGAAAAGCAGCAGGUUAAUACCCCGCUGUUCUGACGGUACCCAAAGAAUAAGCACCGGCUAACUUCGUG